CAGGGACCAGCAAAAGCACGCGUUUCACCCAAACCAAUCACAACUCGCCGCGUGGAUCAUGUGUUGGAUCGUGGUCCGUCUCCGGCGGCUCCAAUGGAUUACAUAUGUUCAUGUGUGGUCCGCCUACUCUAUAGGUGGAUAUCCUCGGAAAUUCCGAAUGCGGUCAUUAUCAAAGGUAAAAAAAAUACUAGUAAUGUAUGAUAGCGCAACCGUAGAUCUACCAUGGAAAGAUGAAAGAGGGGGACCACCGACCACUUCAACUAAGAGGUAGGGGCGACUGAGCUUGGUUGAAAGUUGAGAGAGAGAGGGAGAAGACGACGACGUAGAUCGAUCGACAUAGAAGAAGUGGUCCCUUCACAAAAGCAAAGCUAUAUUGAACAAAUACAAGCUUCCGUGGUCGUAAUGCGUUGAGAAUGGUCCCCCCCUAUGAUUUUGGAACUUAAAUGCCAAUUUGGAAAACAAAACGAAAAAGAGCCUAAACAACCACAAGAGGUGGGCGCCCACCAACAAUCCACUACCACCGUUUCCAUCUAACUCACAAACACAAUUCGUGAUUUUUACCUCAGUAUACAAACGGGACAGUAGUGAGUAGUGGCUCCUCCUAGAGAUAAGGUUACUUCCUUAUUUUAUCAACCAUAUAUUUCAAUUACACAUAUACCAACAGUUGCAACUUUG